rnacentral:rRNA from 1 species
AGUGAACGCUGGCGGUAGGCCUAACACAUGCAAGUCGAACGGCAGCACAGUAAGAGCUUGCUCUUACGGGUGGCGAGUGGCGGACGGGUGAGGAAUACAUCGGAAUCUACUUUUUCGUGGGGGAUAACGUAGGGAAACUUACGCUAAUACCGCAUACGACCUACUGGUGAAAGCAGGGGAUCUUCGGACCUUGCGCGAUUGAAUGAGCCGAUGUCGGAUUAGCUAGUUGGCGGGGUAAAGGCCCACCAAGGCGACGAUCCGUAGCUGGUCUGAGAGGAUGAUCAGACACACUGGAACUGAGACACGGUCCAGACUCCUACGGGAGGCAGCAGUGGGGAAUAUUGGACAAUGGGCGAAAGCCUGAUCCAGCCAUACCGCGUGGGUGAAGAAGGCCUUCGGGUUGUAAAGCCCUUUUGUUGGGAAAGAAAAGCAGCAGGUUAAUACCCCGCUGUUAUGACGGUACCCAAAGAAUAAGCACCGGCUAACUUCGUG